UACGUAGGGUGCAAGCGUUAAUCGGAAUUACUGGGCGUAAAGCGUGCGCAGGCGGUUUUGUAAGUCUGUCGUGAAAUCCCCGGGCUCAACCUGGGAAUUGCGAUGGAGACUGCAAGGCUAGAGUUUGGCAGAGGGGGGGUAGAAUUCCACGUGUAGCAGUGAAAUGCGUAGAUAUGUGGAGGAACACCGAUGGCGAAGGCAGCCCCCUGGGUCAAGACUGACGCUCAUGCACGAAAGCGUGGGGGAGCAAACAGG
rnacentral:rRNA from 1 species